rnacentral:rRNA from 1 species
AGCGAACGCUGGCGGCAUGCUUAACACAUGCAAGUCGCACGGGCGGGGGCAACUCCGUCAGUGGCGGACGGGUGAGUAACGCGUAGGAAUCUAUCCUUGAAUGGGGGACAACCGUGGGAAACUACGGCUAGUACCGCAUGAUGCCUGAGGGCCAAAGACGAAAGUCGUUUGAGGAGGAGCCUGCGUCUGAUUAGGUAGUUGGUGGGGUAAAGGCCUACCAAGCCUACGAUCAGUAGCUGGUCUGAGAGGAUGAUCAGCCACAUUGGGACUGAGACACGGCCCAAACUCCUACGGGAGGCAGCAGUGGGGAAUAUUGGACAAUGGGCGCAAGCCUGAUCCAGCAAUGCCGCGUGGGUGAAGAAGGUCUUCGGAUUGUAAAGCCCUUUUGGCGGGGACGAUGAUGACGGUACCCGCAGAAUAAGCUCCGGCUAACUUCGUG